UCAGCCGUGGUAUCGUGGAGCCGGUGUUGUUGGUGUUCCAAGCACCGAGCAGACGGCUGCCCUUGUUCGAUCCCGGGUCGGUGAU
rnacentral:tRNA from 1 species